CCAGACUCCUACGGGAGGCAGCAGUGGGGAAUAUUGGACAAUGGACCAAGAGUCUGAUCCAGCAAUUCUGUGUGCACGAUGAAGUUUUUCGGAAUGUAAAGUGCCUUCAGUUGGGAAGAAAGAAAUGACGGUACCAACAGAAGAAGUGACGGCUAAAUACGUGCCAGCAGCCGCGGUAAUACGUAUGUCACGAGCGUUAUCCGGAUUUAUUGGGCGUAAAGCGCGUCUAGGUGGUUAUGUAAGUCUGAUGUGAAAAUGCAGGGCUCAACUCUGUAUUGCGUUGGAAACUGUAUAACUAGAGUACUGGAGAGGUAAGCGGAACUACAAGUGUAGAGGUGAAAUUCGUAGAUAUUUGUAGGAAUGCCGAUGGGGAAGCCAGCUUACUGGACAGAUACUGACGCUGAAGCGCGAAAGCGUGGGUAGCAAACAGGAUUAGAUACCCUGGUAGUCCACGCCGUAAACGAUGAUUACUGGGUGUUGGGGGUCGAACCUCAGCGCCCAAGCAAACGCGAUAAGUAAUCCGCCUGGGGAGUACGUACGCAAGUAUGAAACUCAAAGGAAUUGACGGGGGCCCGCACAAG
rnacentral:rRNA from 1 species